UACGUAGGGUGCAAGCGUUAAUCGGAAUUACUGGGCGUAAAGCGUGCGCAGGCGGUGAUGUAAGACAGAUGUGAAAUCCCCGGGCUCAACUUGGGAACUGCAUUUGUGACUGCAUCGCUGGAGUGCGGCAGAGGGGGAUGGAAUUCCGCGUGUAGCAGUGAAAUGCGUGGAUAUGCGGAGGAACACCGAUGGCGAAGGCAAUCCCCUGGGCCUGCACUGACGCUCAUGCACGAAAGCGUGGGGAGCAAACAGG
rnacentral:rRNA from 1 species